UAGGGAAUCUUCCGCAAUGGGCGAAAGCCUGCCGGAGCAACGCCGCGCGUGUGAUGAAGGUCUUCGGCUUGUAAAACUCUGUUAUUAGGGAAGAACAACCGUGUAAGUAACUAUGCACGUCUUGACGGUACCUAAUCAGAAAGCCACGGCUAACUACGUGCCAGCAGCCGCGGUAAUACGUAGGUGGCAAGCGUUAUCCGGAAGUAUUGGGCGUAAAGCGCGCGUAGGCGGUUUUUUAAGUCUGAUGUGAAAACCCACGGCCCAACCGAGGAGGGUCAUUGGGGACUGGAACACUUGAGUGCAGAAGAGGAAAGUGGAAUUCCAUGUGUAGCGGAGAAAUGCGCAGAGAUAUGGAGAGACACCAGUGGCGAAGGCGACUUUCUAGUCUGUAUCUGACACUGAUGUGCGAAAGCGUGGGGUUCAAACAGG
rnacentral:rRNA from 1 species